GACCUCAGGGAGCAGAGCUCUGGGGGUGUCUCCACCAUGGCCUGGAUUCCUCUCCUGCUCAGCUUCCUUACUCUCUGCCAAGGUGCUUGGGCUCAGUUUGUACUCACUCAGCCAGCAUCAGUGUCCGGGUCUCUGGGGCAGUCAGUCACAAUCUCCUGCACUCGAAGCAGUGGCAACAUUGGUAGCGACUAUGUGAGCUGGUACCAACAGCACCAGGGCCAGAGCCCCAAGCUCAUCAUCUAUGAAUGGAGUAAUCGUCCUUCAGGGAUCCCAGAGAGAUUCUCUGGCACCAAAGACACCUCAGCCAACUCUGCCUCCCUGACCAUCUCUGGUCUGCAGGCUGAGGAUGAGGCUGAUUACUACUGUGAAUCCUAUUACUAUAAAAGUGGCUACUACUACACAUGCACAGUGGCCAAGGCUUAUGAGGAAGGACCUCCGCUCAGGGGUCUCCCAGGCCACCACCUGCCCUCACCAUCUCCCUUCAUUACUCCUCACAUGCUUCCACUGACCACUGUGGCAGGAAGUCACCAGCUGAGCUGA